GCAAGUCGAACGAGAGGACAGGAGCUUGCUCUUGGGCUCUAGUGGCAGACGGGUGAGUAACGCGUGGGUAACCUACCUUCGAGUGAGGAAUACCAGACCGAAAGGGCUGUUAAUACCGCAUAAUAUUACGGGAACAUCUGUUACCAUGAUCAAAGGAGGGGAAUAACGAAAGUUGUCCUUGCGCUUGAAGAGGGACUCGCGUCAGAUUAGCUUGUUGGUAAGGUAAUGGCUUACCAAGGCAUCGAUCUGUAGCCGGCCUGAGAGGGUGAUC
rnacentral:rRNA from 1 species